UGAGUCAGUGUACUGGGGUACGAGGGACCGAAGGUAGUAAUGAGUCAGCUGUACUGGGGUACGAGGUAGUAGUGAGUCGGUGUACUGGGGUACGAGGGGACGAGGUAGUAAUGAGUCAGUGUACUGGGGUACGAGGUAGUAGUGAG